rnacentral:rRNA from 1 species
UACAGAGGGGGCAAGCGUUGUUCGGAAUUACUGGGCGUAAAGGGCGCGCAGGCGGCUCUGAAAGUCAGAUGUGAAAGCCCCGGGCUUAACCUGGGAACUGCAUUUGAUACUCUGGAGCUUGAGUGUGGGAGAGGAGAGUGGAAUUCCCAGUGUAGAGGUGAAAUGCGUAGAUAUCGGGAGGAACACCUGUGGCGAAAGCGGCUCACUGGACCACAACUGACGCUGAGGCGCGAAAGCUAGGGGAGCAAACAGG